AUUUCUAACGUAUACACCGUGGAGCACGGGCCAGCGGCUGUGAGACACAGGCAGGGGGAGGGCGGACCUGGGGACAGGGUCACGGAGAGCGGUGGCUCGGCAGGGCCCUCGGAGCACGAGCAGACAGGACAAAGUCCAGACUGGCCAUGGUGUGUCCCUCGCAGCCAGCACCCCCGCAGGGACACGGGGUUGCGGAAUCAAAAAGGAAAAUCGGUGGGAUCCCAAGCAUUGGAAAGGAAAGUGUGGGACCCCGGUCACCUCAUGCUCCUGGGAGAAGAAUGGCGUCCUGUGUGACACCC
rnacentral:lncRNA from 1 species